rnacentral:rRNA from 1 species
GAUGAACGCUGACAGAAUGCUUAACACAUGCAAGUCAACUUGAACUUCGGUUUGGGUGGCGGACGGGUGAGUAACGCGUAAAGAACUUGCCUCACAGAUAGGGACAACAUUUGGAAACGAAUGCUAGUACCUGAUAUUAUGAUUAUAUGGCAUCGUAUAAUUAUGAAAGCUAUAUGCGCUGUGAGAGAGCUUUGCGUCCCAUUAGCGAGUUGGAGAGGUAACGGCUCACCAAGGCGAUGAUGGGUAGCCGGCCUGAGAGGGUGAUCGGCCACAAGGGGACUGAGACACGGCCCUUACUCCUACGGGAGGCAGCAGUGGGGAAUAUUGGACAAUGGACCAAGAGUCUGAUCCAGCAAUUCUGUGUGCACGAUGAAGUUUUUCGGAAUGUAAAGUGCUUUCAGUUGGGAAGAAAAAAAUGACGGUACCAACAGAAGAAGUGACGGCUAAAUACGUG